rnacentral:rRNA from 1 species
ACUGACACUGAGGCUCGAAAGUGUGGGUAUCAAACAGGAUUUAGAUACCCUGGUAGUCCACACGGUAAACGAUGAAUACUCGCUGUUUGCGAUAUACAGCAAGCGGCCAAGCGAAAGCGUUAAGUAUUCCACCUGGGGAGUACGCCGGCAACGGUGAAACUCAAAGGAAUUGACGGGGGCCCGCACAAGCGGAGGAACAUGUGGUUUAAUUCGAUGAUACGCGAGGAACCUUACCCGGGCUUAAAUUGCAGAUGAAUUACGGUGAAAGCCGUAAGCCGCAAGGCAUCUGUGAAGGUGCUGCAUGGUUGUCGUCAGCUCGUGCCGUGAGGUGUCGGCUUAAGUGCCAUAACGAGCGCAACCCUUGUUGUCAGUUACUAACAGGUUCCGCUGAGGACUCUGACAAGACUGCCAUGGUAAGAUGUGAGGAAGGUGGGGAUGACGUCAAAUCAGCACGGCCCUUACGUCCGGGGCUACACACGUGUUACAAUGGGGGGUACAGAGGGCCGCUACCACGCGAGUGGAUGCCAAUCCCAAAAACCUCUCUCAGUUCGGACUGGAGUGUGCAACCCGACUCCACGAAGCUGGAUUUGUUAGUAAUCGCGCAUCAGCCACGGCGCGGUGAAUACGUUCCCGGGCCUUGUACACACCGCCCGUCAAGCCAUGGGAGCCGGGGGUACAAGAAAUGAGUAACCCCGAGGAGCGCCCUAGGGUAAAA